rnacentral:RNase_P_RNA from 1 species
GGAGCGGACUGGAUGGCCGCCGGCCCCUUGGGGCGGGAGGAAAGUCCGGGCUCCACAGGACAGGGUGGUGGGUAACGCCCACCGGCCGCGAGGUCCGGGAAAGUGCAACAGAAAGUACACCGCCCUUCGGCUCUGUCGAAGGGUAAGGGUGAAACGGUGCGGUAAGAGCGCACCAGCAGGUUGGGUGACCAGCCUGGCUAGGCAAACCCCACCCGGAGCAAGGCCAAACAGGGAGCAAUCCCGAUCCGUCGGGAUGCGGGUUGGUUCGGUCCGUUAUCGACUCCCGGGUAGGCUGCUGGAGGCGCCGAGCAAUCGGCGCCCUAGAUAAAUGGCCGUCGCGCGGCUGCGUGCCGCGACAGAACCCGGCUUACAGGUCCGCUCCGCGU